rnacentral:rRNA from 1 species
UCCGUAGGCGGUGCGGCAAGUCGGAAGUGAAAUCUCCGGGCUUAACUCGGAGGCUGCUUCCGAAACUGCCGUGCUCGAGUGCGAGAGAGGCAAGUGGAAUUGCGGGUGUAGCGGUGAAAUGCGUAGAUAUCCGCAGGAACAUCCGAGGCGAAAGCGGCUUGCUGGAUCGCAACUGACGCUGAGGGACGAAAGCUAGGGGAGCAAACAGGAUUAGAUACCCUGGUAGUCCUAGCCCUAAACCAUCAGGACUUGGGGUUUGCCCUGUACGGGGCAAGUCCCGGAGCUAACGCGUUAAGUCCUGCGCCUGGGGAGUACGGUCGCAAGGCUGAA